AACCCUCUCUCACUUUCUCUUCCGCUGUUCCCUGGAUUGGAGGCGUGGUUGCAGGAAGUGGUGGUGGUGGAGGAGGAGGAGGAGGGUCAUCUCUCGUCCUUCCUUCCGUCACUUGAGUCACUGUCGCCUGCAUCCCACCGUGGCCUUGAUUCCCGCGUGCAUCUUUUGUGUGUGCCACCACCGCCAAGAGUGACCAAGAGUGAAGAAUCUUCUGUCACCUGACUGCAGUUAGUGUCUUCAGGCAUACCAACGCUUCCUGGCUACUAUACAGUUGACAAGAUACCUCGUGGAAACUGACAAUAAUGCAAAUGAACAACUGCAAAUGAUUGAUGGCUGUGAUAAGUAUUUCUUAACGAGGUGUGCUGGUGUGAAGCUUGGACUGUACGCGUCGUCUUGAGACGAGCAGCUCUUGAUGAUCACAGGACCUAAUCUUGCGGAGUUCUGCAGGUUAUUCUCGUCAUUUCCAUUGUCAGUUUGCAGGCCAUAUGAAGAAGCACAACAGUAACUAUUCUCAGGCAACAUUCCACCUCUUCUGUAGCAAGAAUACGUCUU